rnacentral:lncRNA from 1 species
GCACGAUUGAGUUGUAUCUGUUGGGAAGAAGUUGCUAGGCUGUCCGCAACAGUGUCUUUCAGAUAUUUGCUGAAGAGCUGGGCUUGCUGGGCACCACUUUUCAUAAUUGUGGUGAAAUUGCCUAAGACCUUGGUAAAUAACAAAAUCUACUCAAAUACAAAGGGAUUUAACUUACUCUAAAGAUUAUUUUGUUUUGUCUGCUGGAUUAAAAUUGCUUCUAAAGUUAUUAGAGAAACUUAACAUUAGCACUUGCCUUUCUAUAAAGAAACAAACCACACACACACAAAGGUGCAGCAUUAUACGGUAAUUAUCCAAAAUGCUACCGCUUGGAAUAAUAAGGAUGCUGUGUGUUUACAUAGCAUCUUUCUUUUCCAAAUAAAUUAAAUAGAUACACCACCCGCAUCCCAUUAUCCCUAUAAAUAGUCUUCUAUGAGCCAUGCGGGUGGCAAGGAAGAUUAUCUGCAUUAUAUAGGAGGAGUGACUGAAGCACAGAGAAGCUUUCAAGAUCACACGGCCCCAGGAACUCACGGUGAUGAAGACUUAGGACACGUGGUAACUACU